AACAAAAGCAAUUACGCCCAAAUUUCGAAUCACUCCGGAAUUGUGAUCAUAAAAAAUAAUAGCAUCAACUGCUGCGAGAAUAAGGAACGGUGACGACCACGGCUAAGCAAAGAAAACAGAUUUGUGUAACAAGUAAAGAGGAGCUACUGCAGGUGGCUUUUAUCCCUUUGUUGGUCGUUCUUGGUACAUAGUCAGAUUGUAAGGUUACUACGCGGCUCAAUCUUGGGGCUCCGAGGACCAGACGAUGGUGAAAUGCGAUACAACACCCACAAGAGAACAUAUAUUUGUCCUCUGUGAUCUUAGUGAAGCGACGGUCGUUUGUUCGGUGGCGUUUGGAAAUGGGGCAGAAUUGCCGAAAGUGUUUGUGCGAUUAGAUUCUUUCUAAGUGGGUGGGAGUAAAUCGCACGUGUGCUUUCUUAUGUGGUGGAAAAUUUGCACCGAAGAACAAAGUCGACAGUGAAAGCUAAUUCUACAGGAAGCACAGGGCAAAGCAAACAGUUCCCAAGGUGAAGUGUGCACCAGGUUAGUGUAGUCGAAAGUGGACGAGGAAAAGUGAACCCAUUACCCCUAAAAAAAAAGAAAAAGAAGAAAAUGUAAACACGAUGUGCGAAUAAACAGAAGUAGAAAAAAUCGUUCGGAACAGUGGCGGCCGUGGAAAAAGCAAGCAACAGCAGCCGCUGUGGAAAUAGGUAUGAGAAAAUCAUAAACAUUAAAGUUUAAUCAGUCAGUCGGAGCGAGUGACACUAGGAGCGUUGCUUUACAGGGUGUAUUUUGAUACACGUCCUUGUCUCGUUUCGUUUGUUCUUUUGUGCUUUGUACAUUCAAAAAAGUGUCUAUGCCGGUGUCCUGACCGGGGUAGACAUAUAAAGUCGGUUGAUUUGCCAGUAUUGUCUGUGUGGCUGGUAUGUGUUGGGGGUCGAUGGAGAUGGAAGGAGAGUGCUAUCAUCAUAACUCACCCACCACCGCAACUCGUGCAGCCGAAAGCAUUUGCUUGCUCUAGUUUAGUGCGUUCCGUUGCUUUAUAGACGAUCUUGCCAAUUUAGUGCGACGACGGUGAAUCGUGGACGUUUGACACUGAGAGUGCGCUGGAAGUUUGUGUUGACAUUUGUUGAAGAAAACUGAUACCAACUGUGUUUGAACAUCAAGAAAGUCUCGGAAAAGUUGUUUGGUUUGUGCCUGAAAUGUUCCCGGACCAGACUAUUGGAUGUAUUUGAAUAACGAAGCGUACAGAUACACGUUUUGUGGGACUACUGAUUGCUUCGAGUCAAAGGUGAGCUGUCUAUAUAAUAUGCAAUUAAUAUUCUUCU